UAUUGAGGGAGAGUUCCUUUGGAAACACAAAUCUUGAGACAGAUUUGUGAUCCAAAGUUCAAAUCGAUGAGUAGAUAGAGCAAAGAUCAAAGCUAUUGGUUGGUCCAAAUACUAAAACAGGAUCAACUAACAUACCAAUAUGGAAGAAUUGGUGUUGGAAGAAAAAUCAGUAAUGAAUCAAAGCUGUUUGGGUUGUUGCUGAAGAAUCAGAAGACCAGAAAGAAGAGAAGGAAGAAACAAAAUGAUGUAUGCACUGAUCUGUAUUAUUGGUAUGAGCGGAAUCGGUAAAGUUAAUUGUAUUAAUGGGAAAGCUAUUGUUGAGCGAUUUGUAAGAUUCAAUCGAUGAAGCUUAGCAGCCAUUGAUUGAUUCAUGUGUGAAAAUCUCCUUUUCAUUGAAGCCAUCUGUUAGUGCGUCUGAUCCAAUGAAAGGAUCCAGAAGAAACUCCUCUGUAUGCGAACCUGUUCUUGUGUGCAUAUGUUGACACACGUUGAAGGAUGCAAACCCAUGUUAUUUCUAUCAGGGGUGAAUGGUUCACGAACACCGGAAAUUUUUGUGCUCUUUGAUACGGAAGAAAAAGCUCUCCCUGCAGCAUUGACAGUGUUUACAAAAUGUCACAUUUUUUUGUUUGUAAGUUAUUGAAAAAUUCUGGUUGAUGUUGUGAAACACUUGCAAGUUAUGUUUCGUGUAUCCAUUUUAUGAAAUUACAGUUGCUAGCAAGCUAAAUUGGCAGUGGGCUACUUCUGUAAUAGGAAUUCUGAGUGUCAAGUUUAUAUACAGAACAAGUUGGAGAAAAUGGUUGGAUAUUUUGUUUAAGUACCUGUUAA